AUACUGAAAAUGUCAUUUAUAUCAUAUUUGUGUUACUUAGCACUUUAGUAGCCCUUUAUUCGUAUAGUUGAUGAGCCCUUUAUUCUCAAAUGCAUUGACUUCUCAUUUUUGUUUGAAACCACCUUUUUCAUCAAUGUCUAUUUGCUUGUUGGUAAGUAAUAAUCUUAUAAUGUUUUGCAGGAUUUGAAACCACUAAGGGCUAGCGUGCACUCACCAUUUAGGUGGAAUGAGCGGUACGCGCAGUACCUGCAAAGAGCAGGAUUUUUGGAUAUUGCGGUUCAGGUUGUCGCGGGUGUCCCUCCAAUGGACGGACCGUUGUUGACCGCUAUGGUCGACAGGUGGCGUCUGGAGACUCACACCUUCCAUCUCCCGUUCGAAGAGAUACCAUCACGAUGCAGGACAUUGCUAUGAUACUUGGUCUUCCACUGGAGGGGCAUCCAGUGACAGGAAUCAUACAGAACGAGAAUUGGCGUGACAUGGUAGCAAUGCAUAUUGGGAUUAGGCCGCCAGAGCCAGAGGACGGAGCCAACUCCAAGAAGACUUUUGGUGUGAGCUCUGCAUGGUUGAGGGAGCACUUCAACGUUUGCCCGCAGGGAGAAAUGACGAGGUUGUGCAGCGAUACGCUCAUGUUUGGCUAUGGCACUUUGUGAGCACAUUCCUCCUUCUUGAUACAGCCGGGAACACGGUGUAUUGGAUGGUUCUCCUAAUUUUGGGUCAGGAUUGGGACAACAUAGCACUGUACAGUUGGGGCUCAGUGGUUCUCGCCUGGCUGUACAGGCAGCUAUGUGAGGCUUGCAGGCACACUGCGAGGGAUUCAAAUGUUGGAGGGUGCACCUAUAUGCUGCAGAUCUGGAUUUGGGAGCGAAUGCUCGUGGGUCGAUCUUGCCGUCUCCGCGUCGAUCCAUGGCAUCGAAACGAUGCUCAUCCCACAUCUAUCAUGUGUGGAAGCAUGUGCGGCCCGUUUGUGGCAAUCCGGAUAGGCGCUACAGGGCCUACACAAACGAGUUGGAUGUUGUCACGCAGCACCAGGUUGAAUGGAAACCGUACGAUCGUCAGCACCUAAGCCAGAUCGUAUUUUAUGUGGGAAGCAGUGUGGGAAGCCACGCUUACCAAUGAACAAUCAACUCUGGGUAUAUGAUCUCGUAAAUUUUGGAGUAAUAAAUAAGCAAAAUUCUUUCCCAAACAAGGGUCGUCCCUAAUGGAGAACUCAGACGAAAUUGGGAAGAUGAGUUCUGAACCAUCUUAUCCAGACAGCUGAAGUGAGUGUGGCCAGCGUAUCGUGGCUUAUAGAUGAGUUCUGAACCAUCUUCUCCAAAUGCAAUGCCUAGGCUGCCACUACAAACAUCUAAACGGAGCCUAGUAGAGUCAAACGUUCAGUGAAUAACUACUCUGCUUGGCGUACAUGUAUUAAUUUUUUCUGCUCUUAAUGAAACCCUAAAUCGGCGGCAAGUAAUGGCAAAAAUCCGUUUUGGCCAUAAAGUUUGAGCAGUUCAGAAAAAAUACGAAAUUUUGAGAAAAAAGAACAAGCACUCCAAUAGGUCCUGCGGUAGUGCAGUACCCUAGCGGUUCCAUUCGACAUUCCUUUCCGACGGUUCCUACAGCGGCGCUGCUCCUCCCCAGACCGGCGGCGCGCCUCCUAGCAAGACCGGCGGCGUGGGCCCUCCCCAGACCGGCGGCGCCCCUCCUUCCUAGACCAGCAGUGCCCCUCCUCUGCAACUUCGUGAAGGUAUCAAGGAUAAGGAUUAAGGUCUUAAGGAAUUAAGGAUUCAUUGAUUCAAUAUUUCAAUUUCAAGGAUUAUUGAGUAUGUGGCUAUGUGCUGCAGAGUGCAGACUGCAUUGCUGCUGUAUGCAUGAUUCAAGGAGUUGUACUGUUGUAGUAUAAAUGGCUUGCUCGUAUGGAUGAUUCAUUGAUUCUAGUCUUCUAGACCUUUGCAGCCAAUACUUCAAUAAUCAGUACUAUGGUCUUUGAGUAUGGAGUAUGGACAGAGUUUGCUAUGCUGUUUGCUUCAAUAAUCAAUACUAUGCUGUUUGCUGACUUGCUGUUGCCAAUUGCCAUGAAAUAUGUGUUGAAAAUGGUCAAAUAUGUGCUGAAACAGGGGAAAUUCUGCUGAAUUUUUGCAAAAACGCUAAUCCGAGCAUGGGUGAUGGAGAGAAUCCGAGCAUGGGUGAUGGAGAGAUGAGCAUGGCUGGUGGAGAGCAUCACAAGGUCUAUAUGACUGUGUAUGGUUGUCACUUCAAUCGUAGCAUGCAUGCAAACUAACUAUAUAUUGUCUAUCUCAGAUAUCAAAUGUGAAACACUAUUGCCGCCUCCAGAUGAUUGGAAAGUACGUUAGUGGAUAUUCACCUAGGCAGACUUACCUAGUGCAUGAGUUGGGAGCGGGCUUUGUGUUUAGCAUGGGAACCAAGAUGCCAUUGAACUCUUAUCUCAUGAAUUUUCUGAUUCGUUGUUUUCGUUGUGAUAAGGAAGCUCUAGAAAUUGAGGAAGGGGCAUUCAUAGAAAUAAGACCCGUACGAAGGAUCUGUAUAAUAUGUCCAAUACUGGGAAGAAACUAGAUCAUGGUGGAUAUCCCAAGUUUGAAGCUCUUGCGUAUGUAAGGACGACAAAGUUCAAAGACCUAAUUAAUACCUCUAUUGCCGACUUAUGGGAUAGAGUGAGAAAGGCUUCUGAUGAGGAUUUUUGUAUCCUUUUCAUGUUGGCAUUACUGAACACGUUUUUAGCUCCUUCCAGAAGUGAAAAAGUGGAUACAAGUUUUUUAAUAGAUCUCAUGGAUCAUGAGAAAAUAAAGGAGUUGGACUGGUACUCAUUCAUUGCCGAUUACCUUAUUAACAGUAUAAGGGCAUACCAACAGCAAAAAAUUAAAGAUGUUCCUGGAUGUCUUCACCUUCUGCACGUAAGUUCAAAGUCAUGUAUAUCUUUGCAUGCAGCUUAUAUGCGCGGACUACGUGAAAUAUCACGACAAAGCACCACGAACUGAUUUUCCACGGAGUAUGCAUAUCAAGGAUGCAGAUCUGAUGUGUGCGGCUAACCAAGUGUCACGUGUUAGCCUGAAGAAAGCUCGUGCAAGAAAUACUGUAACCCAAAAAGCCAGUGCAAGGGUGCAGAAUGCAAAAGUUCUUGAUGACGUUACUCAUCAAGUCAUGAGUGUCAUCAAGAAUUAUGUAGAUGUCAGCCGCGCCAGCGUGGCGCUGACUUGGUGGCGCGCUUGACGCGUCAGACCACCUGGCGCGGUAGCACCUCUCGUACCGCCGCGCGACACCCUUCCUCCUCCUCUCUUCCUCCUCCAGCCAGACCCGAGCAGCACCUCCAACCCGUCGCCUCCUCCCCGAAACCCUCCAAAUCCGGUGAUUUUUGGUGUGGAAAUUGAUCCCCACAUUCUUGGGAAGAGAGAUCUCGCUGUUGGCGACAAUGGUGCUCAGGGUGCUCUAGCCGUGGGUGUGGGUGUUCAAGAAAGAUACAGAUGUCACAGAAUCACAGGCUGUACCUCGCGAGGUGACCGGCGAGGAGGCCAGGAACGAGGGGGCUGGCAGUGGUGGGGUCAUCAUUAAUGAUGAAGCCAUCAGGCAAAGUUCAUGAACAAAGACGGAAGCUUUGCCUGGCUUGAGUACAUCGAUUACAUCAACUUCCGAAGAAGUAAUCCAGAGAUGACUGAUCCGGAGGUCAUCGACGAGAUGCUUCGAAGGAGAUACGCUGUGGCUGAUCAGGAGAUGAAGAUCGUGGAGCAUCAGGAGGACGUGAGGGUCGACGAGGCAGCGAUGAAGGCGAGGUUCGAGGACUGGAUGAAGGAGUAUGACAAGACCUACAAGAAUGAGGAGGAGAAGGCUAGGAGGUAUGAAAUAUUCAAGCAGAACGCGAUCAACGCCGACAAGGCUAACGCGUCAGUCCCACAUGGUGCCCAUCAUGCACCUAACAAUCUUGGGGACUGACCAAGGAAGAAAUCUAUCGUCUGCGCAGCCGUCAGGAUGACUUUCCCUGGGAGUCCUACUUUUGUAGAAUGAGCAAGAUGUAUGCUGAGGGUAGGGUAGAUGGCGUUCCAGGAACUGUAGAUGCUCAUCAAGAGGUGGAGUGCACCGAGGCUGUGAAGCAGUGCUACAGGGAACUAAAAGCAAGGAAGGCCAAACAAGACGCAGCCGCAAGGAAAUCCGAGCAAACCGCAGAUGCAGAUAAUCUCUAGCCAGAGACAAGACUUGAGGCUGAUUACCUACUUCUUGUCGGAGUUUGCUUGAGUCUAAGCAUUGCAAACAUUGCUGGCUUCACCAAAUAUAACAAAGAUGCCAAGUAGAACAUUCAGGCGUUCGCUCAAAAUGCGCUCGCUUCCCGUGUCACAUCACCGCUGCAAUCAGCAUUCGGAGUCAUCUGAAAUCCCACAUGGAGCCAUGGAGGUGCUUUCCUCUGAUUGCAAGGAUGAAAAUUAUUACUGUAGUGAGCACUGUACUUGUCUGAAACUGGUACCUGAUGCAGAAAUGCAGAAGUGAUCAUUUGUAACCAUGAAUUUUUUUAUUUCUUCUCAUAGUUUGAUUUGAUUCGCCAA